UACGGAGGGUGCGAGCGUUGUCCGGAAUCACUGGGCGUAAAGGGCGCGUAGGUGGCCCUCUUAAGUGUGUGGUGAAAGCCCGGGGCUCAACCCCGGGUCGGCCAUGCAAACUGGGGGGGCUUGAGCAUUGUAGAGGCAGGCGGAAUUCCGGGUGUAGCGGUGGAAUGCGUAGAGAUCCGGAAGAACACCGGUGGCGAAGGCGGCAUCCUGGACCGGCAUUGACGCUGAGGCGCGAAAGCCAGGGGAGCAAAGCGGGG
rnacentral:rRNA from 1 species